GAUGAACGCUGGCGGCGUGCUUAACACAUGCAAGUCGAACGGAAAGGCCCAAGCUUGCUUGGGUACUCGAGUGGCGAACGGGUGAGUAACACGUGGGUGAUCUGCCCUGCACUUCGGGAUAAGCCUGGGAAACUGGGUCUAAUACCGGAUAGGACGAUGGUUUGGAUGCCAUUGUGGAAAGUUUUUUCGGUGUGGGAUGAGCUCGCGGCCUAUCAGCUUGUUGGUGGGGUAAUGGCCUACCAAGGCGUCGACGGGUAGCCGGCCAGAGAGGGUGUACGGCCACAUGGGGAAUGGGAUACGGCCCAGGCUCCUACGGGAGGCAGCAGGGGGGAAGAUGGCAAAAUGAGCGCAGGCCUGAUGCAGCGACGCCGCGUGGGGGAUGACGGCCUUCGGGUUGUAAACACCUUUCGCUAGGGAAGAAGCGUUUUUGUGACGGUACCUGGAGAAGAAGCACCGGCUAACUACGUG
rnacentral:rRNA from 1 species